UUAUAUUACAAGUCAGGGGCCUCGAGGGCUCGCAUACAAGCUCGAUACACAAGAGUCAGUGGAAGCAACAAUAUCUGAGUAUAGACAUAAGUUAAACAAGGAUGCGUUAAGAAGGCUAGCACAAAAGCAACAACAAUCAAAGAGGCAAGGGCUCCUGCCUGGGACCUCCUAACUACUCCUGGUCUUCGGCGGCCUCCAUGUAGUAGUACCCGUCAGCGGCGGCAUCUAGCUCCAGGGAUCCACCAUCUGGUUGCAACAACUGGUAAGAAUAAAGAAGGUGGGAAAGGGGGAGAAAAGCAACCGUGAGUACUCAUCCAAAGUACUCGCAAGCAUCAGAUCUAAAUUAAGUAUGCAUUGGUAUCGAAUGGAUGGGUUGUAUGUGCGGACUGAAUUGCAGAAUGCCAGAAUAGGGGGGAGGCCUAGCCUAUCAAACACUAGCAUCUUCAAGCAGCUCCAAGCAUCUUGCAGCAUGUAGAAGAGUAAAGAAUAGCAAUUUAUAUUUAACAAACAUGUUUUAGCAUUAAUGCCCAGAGAUCCUUCCUCGACUCCCUGCGAGAAAGCAAUCCCGGAGCCACAUAUCUCAAGUAUCCAUUUCUAGUUGUAAUAGAUCAGGAUAUAAGUCUGAACGUCCAUUACCGAGGACACGGUAUUUGAAUAGAUAACUUCCCUAUAGGGGUGCACCAUGUUUUCCAACACGCUUGAUUACUCUGGCCAGACACGCUAUCCUGAGUCAUGCCCGGCCUCGGAAGAUCAACACGUCGUAGCCCUACCUAGGCUUAGCAGAGAGGUCCCCAUCGGUCUACAUCCUAAGCACUCCGGGGUCUGGGCCCAUCGCCCAUUGCACUCCGGGUCGUUGCAUGCAGGGCGGACCUAGGCACCACCUCUGGGGUGCCGAGCCAGCCGUAGCGCAAUGCUGAACUGGACUUCUGACAAAGCUUCGGUUGGUACUUCGACGUCGAGGCCCAUAACUAUUCUCGCGUGGUGGUUAGUGCGUAAAGGCCAAAGGCCAACUCAGAACAAAUACCCAAACCAUAGUGUAUUAUUAGCUUGCGAAGACGAGCAGAGACUCACGAUAAUGUGACCUCAUCGCCCCGUCUCGAGGAAAUACGGCAAGGGCUAGCCCAGCCCACUCGGGGGCGGCCUGCCUACCCGGCCGUGCCUCGUAACCAUCUUGCGGGUGCUCUCCGGGACCGCCCGACUUUCCCAAAGGUCUCAAGUAAUGUUAAGGUAACCGUGUGUCCAAACAUCAAGGGGAAAACCCAAGGAAUCACCCUCGGUGGAUUCCACUCGAUGUAAUCAUCAAGGUGAACGUACGAGGAACCACCCUCGAGGUUCACACUUGAGGGGUUGCACGACAGAGUCGUAUCGGAAGUGGUUAAAGAGGAAUCACCCUCGAUGACCACGACCGAAUAGCUACACUACAGAGAUCUCAUCAGGAGUGAUGUAGGAGGUACUGAAGGAAAUAUGCCCUAGAGGCAAUAAUAAAGUUACUAUUUAUUUCCUCGUAUCAUGAUAAAUGUUUAUUAUUCAUGCUAUAAUUGUAUUAAACGGAAACAUGAUACAUGUGUGAAUACAUAGACAAACUUAAUGUCACUAGUAUGCCUCUACUUGACUAGCUCAUUAAUCAAAGAUGGUUAUGUUUCCUAACCAUAGACAUGUGUUGUCAUUUGAUUAACAAGAUCACAUCAUUAGGAGAAUGAUGUGAUUGACUUGACCCAUUCCGUUAGCUUAGCACUUGAUCGUUUAGUAUGUUGCUAUUGCUUUCUUCAUGACUUAUACAAGUUCCUAUAACUAUGAGAUUAUGCAACUCCCGUUUACCGGAGGAAGGACACUUUGUGUGCUACCAAACGUCACAACAUAACUGGGUGAUUAUAAAGGAGCUCUACAGGUGUCUCCAAAAGGUACAUGUUGAGUUGGCGUAUUUCGAGAUUAGGUUUUGUCACUCCGAUUGUCGGAGAGGUAUCUCUGGGCCCUCUCGGUAAUGCACAUCACUAUAAGCCUUGCAAAGAAUGUACUAAUGAGUUAGUUACGGAAUGAUGCAUUACGUAACGAGUAAAGAGACUUGCCUGUAACGAGAUUGAACUAGGUAUUGAGAUACCGACGAUCGAAUCUCGGGCAAGUAACAUACCGAUGACAAAGGGAACAACGUAUGUUGUUAUGCGGUUUGACCGAUAAAGAUCUUCGUAGAAUAUGUAGGAGCCAAUAUGAGCAUCCAGGUUCCGUUAUUGGUUAUUGAUAGGAAACAUGUUUCAGUCGUGUCUACAUAGUUCUCGAACCCGUAGGGUCCGCACGCUUAAGGUUUCGAUGACAGUUAUAUUAUGAGUUUAUGAGUUUUGAUGUACCGAAGUUUGUUCGGUGUCCCGAAUGAGAAUACGGACAUGAUGAGGAGUCUUGAAAUGGUAGAGACAUGAAGAUUGAUAUAUUGGAAGCCUAUAUUUGGAUAUCGGAAGUGUUCCGGGUGAAAUCGGGAUUUUGCCGGAGUACCGGGAGGUUACCGGAACCGCCCGGAGGCUUAAUGGGACUACAUGGGCCAUAGUGGAGAGGAAGAGAGGAGGCAAGGGCUGGGCCGCGCCCCCUCCCCCCUAGUCCGAAUAGGACAAGGAGAGGGGGGCGGCGCCCCCCCCCCCUUUCCUUCCCCUCUCCCUCCUCCUUUCCCCCUUCUCCUAUUCCAACUAGGAAAGAAGGGAGUCCUACUCCUGGUGGAAGUAGGACUCCCCUUGGCGCACCCUCCUUGACUGGCCGCCCCCUCCCCCUUGGCUUAUUUAUAUACGGGGGCAGGGGGCACCUCUAGACACAACAAUUGAUCUCUUGAUCUCUUAGCCGUGUGCGGUGCCCCCCUCCACCAUAAUCCUCGAUAAUAUUGUAGCGGUGCUUAAGCGAAGCCCUGCGAAGGUAGAUCAUCAAGAUCGUCACCACACCGUCGUGCUGACGGAACUCUUCCCCGACAUUCUGCUGGAUCGGAGUCCGGGGAUCGUCAUCGAGCUGAACGUGCGCUAGAACUCGGAGGUGCCGUAGUUUCGGUGCUUGAUCGGUCGGGCGGUGAAGACAUAUGACUACAUCAAUCGCGUUGUUCUAACGCUUCCGCUUUCGAUCUACAAGGGUACGUGGACAACACUCUCCCCUCUCGUUGCUAUGCAUCACCAUGAUCUUGCGUGUGCGUAGGAAAUUUUUUGAAAUUACUACGUUCCCCAACAAUGGCAUCCGAGCCAGGUUUUAUGCGUAGAUGUCAUAUGCACGAGUAGAACACAAGUGAGUUGUGGGCGAUAUAAGUCAUACUGCUUACUAGCAUGUCAUACUUUGGUUCAGCGGCAUUGUGAGAUGAAGCGGCCCGGGCCGACAUUACGCGUAUGCCUACGCGAGACUGGUUUCACCGCUACGAGCACUCGUUGCUUAAAGGUGACCGACGGGUGUCUGUCUCUCUCACUUUAGUUGAACCGAGUGUGGCUACGCCCGGUCCUUGCGAAGGUUAAAACAGCAUCAACUUGACAAACUAUCGUUGUGGUUUUGAUGCGUAGGUAAGAACGGUUCUUGCUAAAGCCCGUAGCAGCCACAUAAAAUUUGCAACAAGGACGUCUAACUUGUUUUUGUAGGGCAUGUUGUGAUGUGAUAUGGUCAAGACGUGAUGCUAUAUUUUAUUGUAUGAGAAGAUCAUGUUUUGUAACCGAGUUAUCGGCAACUGGCAGGAGCCAUAUGGUUGUCGCUUUAUUGUAUGAAAUGCAAACGCCCUGUAAUUGCUUUACUUUAUCACUAAGCGGUAGCGAUAGUCGUAGAAGCAAUAGAUGGCGUAACGACAACGAUGCUACGAUGGAGAUCAAGGUGUCGCGCCGGUGACGAUGGUGAUCAAGACGGUGCUUCGGAGAUGGAGAUCACAAGCACAAUAUGAUGAUGGCCAUAUCAUAUCACUUAUACUGAUUGCAUGUGAUGUUUAUCCUUUAUGCAUCUUAUCUUGCUUUGAUUGAUGGUAGCAUUUUGAGAUGAUCUCUCACUAAAUUAUCAAGAAGUGUUCUCCCUGAGUAUGCACCGUUGCGAAAGUUCUUCGUGCUGAGACACCACGUGAUGAUCGGGUGUGAUAGGCUCUACGUUCAAAUACAACGGGUGCAAAACAGUUGCACACGCGGAAUACUCAGGUUAAACUUGACGAGCCUAGCACAUACAUAUAUGGCCUCGGAACACGGAGACCGAAAGGUCGAACAUGAAUCAUAUAGUAGAUAUGAUCAACAUAGUGAUGUUCACCAUUUAAACCACUCCAUCUCACGUGAUGAUCGGACAUGGUUUAGUUGAUUUGGAUCACGUGAUCACUUAGAUAACUAGAGAGAUGUCUGUCUAAGUGGGAGUUCUUAAGUAAUAUGAUUAAUUGAACUUGAGUUUAUCAUGAACUUAGUACCUGAUAGUAUUUUGCUUGUCUAUGUUUGUUGUAGAUAGAUGGCUCGUGUUGUUGUUCCGUUGAAUUUUAAUGCGUUCCUUGAGAAAGCUAAGUUGAAAGAUGAUGGUAGCAAUUACACGGACUGGGUCCGUAACUUGAGGAUUAUCCUCAUUGCUGCACAGAAGAAUCACGUCCUGGAAGCACCGCUGGGUGCCAAGCCUGCUGCCGAUGCGACUGACGAUGUUAAGAAUGUCUGGUAGAGCAAAGCUGAUGACUACUCGAUAGUUCAGUGUGCCAUGCUUUACGGCUUGGAACCGGGUCUUCAACGACGUUUUGAACGUCAUGGAGCAUAUGAGAUGUUCCAGGAGUUGAAGUUAAUAUUUCAAGCAAAUGCCCGGAUUAAGAGAUAUGAAGUCUCCAAUAAGUUCUAUAGCUAUAAGAUGGAGGAGAAUAGUUCUGUCGGUGAACAUAUACUCAAAAUGUCUGGGUAUAAUAAUCACUUGAUUCAACUGGGAGUUAAUCUUCCUGAUGAUAGUGUCAUUGAUAGAAUUCUUCAAUCACUGCCACCAAGCUACAAGAGCUUCGUGAUGAACUAUAAUAUGCAAGGGAUGGACAAGACUAUUCCCGAGCUCUUCACAAUGCUAAAAGCUGCGGAGGUAGAAAUCAAGAAGGAGCAUCAAGUGUUGAUGGUCAAUAAGACCACCGGUUUCAAGAAAAAAGGCAAAGGGAAGAAGAAGGGGAACUUCAAGAAGAACAUCAAACAAGUUGCUGCUCAAGAGAAGAAACCCAAGUCUGGACCUAAGCCUAAGACUGAGUGAUUCCACUGCAAGCAAACUGGACACUGGAAGCGGAACUGCCCCAAGUAUUUGGCGGAUAAGAAGGAUGGCAAAGUGAACAAAGGUAUAUGUGAUAUACAUGUUAUUGAUGUGUACCUUAGUAAUGCUCGUAGUAGCACCUGGGUAUUUGAUACUGGUUCUGUUGCUAAUAUUUGCAACUCGAAACAGGGACUACGGAUUAAGCGAAGAUUGGCUAAGGACGAGGUGACAAUGCAUGUGGGAAAUGGUUCCAAAGUCGAUGUGAUCGCGAUCGGCACGCUACCUCUACAUCUACCAUCGGGAUUAGUUUUAGACCUGAAUAAUUGUUAUUUGGUGCCAGCGUUGAGCAUGAACAUUAUAUCUGGAUCCUGUUUGAUGCGAGACGGUUAUUCAUUUAAAUCAGAGAAUAAUGGUUGUUCUAUUUAUAUGAGUAAUAUCUUUUAUGGUCAUGCACCCUUGAAGAGUGGUCUAUUUUUAUUAACUCUUGAUAGUAGUGAUACACAUAUUCAUAAUGUUGAACCAAAAGAUGCAGAGUUGAUAAUGAUAGUGCAACUUAUUUGUGGCACUGCCGUUUGGGGUCAUAUUGGUGUAAAGUGCAUGAAGAAACUCUAUACUGAUGGACUUCUGGAAUCACUUGAUUAUGAAUCACUUGGUACUUGCGAACCGUGCCUUAUGGGCAAGAUGACUAAAACGCCGUUCUCCGGAACUAUGGAGCGAGCAACUAAUUUAUUGGAAAUCAUACAUACCGAUGUAUGUGGUCCAAUGAAUACUGAGGCUCGCGGCGGGUAUCGUUAUUUUCUCACCUUCACAGAUGAUUUGAGCAGAUAUGGGUAUAUCUACUUGAUGAAACACAAGUUUGAAACAUUUGAAAAGUUCAAAUAGUUUCAGAGUGAAGUGGAAAAUCAUCGUAACAAGAAAAUAAAAAUUUUACGAUCUGAUCGUGGAGGAGAAUAUUUGAGUUACGAGUUUGGUUUACAUUUGAAACAAUGCGGAAUAUUUUCGCAACUCACGCCACCCGGAACACCACAACGAAAUGGUGUGUCUGAACGUCGUAAUCGUACUUUACUAGAUAUGGUGUGAUCUAUGAUGUCUCUUACUGAUUUACCGCUAUCAUUUUGGGGUUAUGCUUUAGAGACGGUCGCAUUCACGUUAAAUAGGGCACCAUCAAAAUCCGUUGAGACGAUGCCUGAUGAACUGUGGUUUGCAAGAAACCAAAGUUGUCGUUUCUUAAAGUUUGGGGCUGCGAUGCUUAUGUGAAGAAACUUCAACCAGAUAAGCUCAAACCCAAAUCGGAGAAAUGUGUCUUCAUAGGAUACCCAAAAGAGACUAUUGGGUACACCUUCUAUCACAGAUCUGAGGGCAAGAUUUUUGUUGCUAAAUUUGGAUCCUUUCUAGAGAAGGAGUUUCUCUCGAAAGAAGUGAGUGGGAGUAAAGUAGAACUUGAUGAGGUAACUGUACCUGCUCCCUUAUUGGAAAGUAGUUCAUCACAAGAAUCGGUUCCUGUGACAACUACACCAAUCAGUGAGGAAGCUAAUGAUAUUGAUCAUGAAACUUCAGAUCAAGUUACUACCGAACCUCGUAGGUCUACCAGAGUAAGAUCCUCACCAGAGUGGUACGGUAAUCCUAUUCUGAAAGUCAUGUUACUUGACCAUGGCGAACCUACGAACUAAGAGGAAGCGAUGAUGAGCCCAGAUUCCGCAAAAUGGCUUGAGGCCAUGAAAACUGAGAUGGGAUCCAUGUAUGAGAACAAAGUAUGGACUUUGGUUGACUUGCCCGAUGAUCGGCAAGCCAUCGAGAAUAAAUGGAUCUUCAAGAAGAAGACUGACGCUGAUGGUAAUGUAACUGUCUACAAAGCUUGACUUGUUGUGAAAGGUUUUCGACAAGUUCAAGGGGUUGACUACGAUGAGACUUUCUCACCCGUAGCGAUGCUUAAGUCUGUCCGAAUCAUGUUAGCAAUUGUCGCGUUUUAUGAUUAUGAAAUUUGGCAAAUGGAUGUCAAAACUGCAUUCUUGAAUGGAUUUCUGGAAGAAGAGUUGUAUAUGAUGCAGCCGGAAGGUUUUGUCGAUCUAAAAGGUGCUAACAAAGUGUGCAAGCUCCAGCGAUCCAUUUAUGGACUGGUGCAAGCAUCUCGGAGUUGGAAUAAACGCUUUGAUAGUGUGAUCAAAGCAUAUGGUUUUAUACAGACUUUUGGAGAAGCCUGUAUUUACAAGAAAGUGAGUGGGAGCUCUGUAGCAUUUCUGAUAUUAUAUGUAGAUGACAUAUUGUUAAUCAGAAAUGAUAUAGAAUUUCUGGAUAGCAUAAAGGGAUACUUGAAUAAUAGUUUUUCAUGAAAGACCUCGGUGAAGCUGCUUACAUAUUGGGCAUCAAGAUCUAUAGAGAUAGAUCAAGACGCUUAAUUGGACUUUCACAAAGCACAUACCUUGAUAAAGUUUUGAAAAAGUUCAAAAUGGAUCAGGCAAAGAAAAGGGUUCUUGCCUGUAUUACAAGGUGUGAAGUUGAGUCAGACUCAAUGCCCGACCACAGCAGAAGAUAGAGGGAAAAUGAAAGAUGUUCCCUAUGCUUCAGCCAUAGGCUCUAUCAUGUAUGCAAUGAUGUGUACCAGACCUGAUGUAUGCUUAGCAAUAAGUUUAGCAGGGAGGUACCAAAGUAAUCCAGGAGUGGAUCACUGGACAACGGUCAAGAAUAUCCUGAAAUACUUGAAAAGGACUAAGGAUAUGUUUCUCGUUUAUGGAGGUGACAAAGAGCUAGUCGUAAAUGGUUACGUCGAUGCAAGCUUUGACACUGAUCCGGACGAUUCUAAAUCGCAAACCAGAUACGUGUUUAUAUUUAACGGUGGAGCUGUCAGUUGGUGCAGUUCUAAACAAAGCGCCGUGGCGGGAUCUACAUGCGAAGCGGAGUACAUAGCUGCUUCGGAAGUAGCAAAUGAAGGAGUCUGGAUGAAGGAGUUCAUUUCUGAUCUAGGUGUCAUACCUAGUGCAUCGGGACCAAUGAAGGUUUUCUGUGACAAUACUGGUGCAAUUGCCUUGGCAAAGGAAUCCAGAUUUCACAAGAGGACCAAGCACAUCAAGAGACGCUUAAAUUCCAUCCAGGACCAAGUCCAGGUGGGAGACAUAGAGAUUUGCAAGAUACAUAUGGAUCUGAAUGUUGCAGACCCGUUGACUAAGCCUCUUCCAUGAGCAAAACAUGAUCAGCACCAAGACUCCAUGGGUGUUAGAAUCAUUACUGUGUAGUCUAGAUUAUUGACUCUAGUGCAAGUGGGAGACUGAAGGAAAUAUGCCCUAGAGGCAAUAAUAAAGUUAUUAUUUAUUUCCUCAUAUCAUGAUAAAUGUUUAUUAUUCAUGCUAUAAUUGUAUUAACCGGAAACAUGAUACAUGUGUGAAUACAUAGACAAACUUAAUGUCAAUAGUAUGCCUCUACUUGACUAGCUCAUUAAUCAAAGAUGGUUAUGUUUCCUAACCAUAGACAUGUGUUGUCAUUUGAUUAACGAGAUCACAUCAUUAGGAGAAUUAUGUGAUUGACUUGACCCAUUCCGUUAGCUUAGCACUUGAUCGUUUAGUAUGUUGCUAUUGCUUUCUUCAUGACUUAUACAAGUUCCUAUAACUAUGAGAUUAUGCAACUCCCGCUUACCAGAGGAACACUUUGUGUGCUACCAAACGUCACAAUGUAACUGGAUGAUUAUAAAGGAGCUCUACAGGUGUCUCCAAAAGGUACAUGUUGAGUUGGCGUAUUUCGAGAUUAGAUUUUGUCACUCCGAUUGUCGGAGAGGUAUCUCUGGGCCCUCUCGGUAAUGCACAUCACUAUAAGCCUUGCAAGCAAUGUAGCUAAUGAGUUAGUUAUGGAAUGAUGCAUUACGUAACGAGUAAAGAGACUUGCCGGUAACGAGAUUGAACUAGGUAUUGAGAUACCGACGAUCGAAUCUCGGGCAAGUAACAUACCGAUGACAAAGGGAACAACGUAUGUUGUUAUGCGGUCUGACCGAUAAAGAUCUUCGUAGAAUAUGUAGGAGCCAAUAUGAGCAUCCAGGUUCCUCUGUUGGUUAUUGACCGGAAACGUGUUUUAGUCAUGUCUACAUAGUUCUCGAACCCGUAGGGUCCGCACGCUUAAGGUUUCGAUGACAGUUAUAUUAUGAGUUUAUGAGUUUUGAUGUACCGAAGUUUGUUUGGAGUCCCGAAUGAGAUUACGGACAUGACGAGGAGUCUCGAAAUGGUCGAAACAUGAAGAUUGAUAUAUUGGAAGCCUAUAUUUGGAUAUCGGAAGUGUUCCGGGUGAAAUCGGGAUUUUACCGGAGUACCGGAACCCCCCGGAGGCUUAAUGGGCCUACAUGGGCCAUAGUGGAGAGGAAGAGAGGAGUCAAGGGCUGGGCCGCGCCCCCUCCCCCUAGUCCGAAUAGGACAAGGAGAGGGGGCGGCGCCCCCCCUUUCCUUCCCCUCUCCCUCCUCCUUCCCCCCUUCUCCUAUUCCAACUAGGAAAGAAGGGAGUCCUACUCCCGGUGGGAGUAGGACUCCCCUUGGCGCGCCCUCCUUGGCCGGCCGCCCCCUCCCCCUUGGCUCCUUUAUAUACGGGGGCAGGGGGCACCUCUAGACACAUCAAUUGAUCUCUUGAUCUCUUAGCCGUGUACGGUGCCCCCCUCCACCAUAAUCCUCGAUAAUAUUGUAGCGGUGCUUAGGCGAAGCUCUGCGGCGGUAGAUCAUCAAGAUCGUCACCACGCCGUCAUGCUGACGGAACUCUUCCCCGACAUUCUGCUGGAUCGGAGUCCGAGGAUCGUCAUCGAGGUGAACAUGUGCUAGAACUCGGAGGUGCCGUAGUUUCGGUGCUUGAUCGGUCGGGCGAUGAAGACGUACGACUACAUCAACCGCGUUGUUCUAACGCUUCCGCUUUCGGUCUACGAGGGUACGUGGACAACACUCUCCCCUCUCGUUGCUGUGCAUCACCAUGAUCUUGCGUGUGCGUAGGAAAUUUUUUGAAAUUACUACGUUCCCCAACAGGUACCACCCUCGGCACUCGAUGGUAACUCUGCAGAGUCGAGCAACAAAAGGGGCGUGAGGUGAUGUGCGGUGUCGGGCUCUGGUCGUCGAUCACGUUGGUCGAGUCGUCGAUGAUGAAGUAGGGGAAACAAGGAUAAGGUGGGGUCACUGAUGGAUCACUAACCAACCUAUACUAAGCAGUUUAGGAUAAGCAGGUAAGGUACAAAGUAGGUUACAAAAGCAGGCUAUGCAUCAGAAUAGGAGAAAUCAAUAACAGCAGCAAAAUCUAAUGCAAGCAUGGGAGAAUGGAAUGAGCGAUAUCGGGAUGAUCAAAGUGGGGGCUUGCCUGGAAGCUUCGCUGGAAGGGAUAAAGGGUCGUCGUCGACGUAGUCGAUCACAGCGGCAUCGACAGCAGUCUCGGGGU
rnacentral:lncRNA from 1 species